AGUAAUGCCUAGGAAUCUGCCUGGUAGUGGGGGACGAACGUUUCGAAAGGAACGCUAAUACCGCAUACGUCUACGGAGAAGCAGGGACCUUCGGGCCUUGCGCUAUCAGAUGAGCCUAGGUCGGAUUAGCUAGUUGGUGAGGUAAUGGCUCACCAAGGCGACGAUCCGUAACUGGUCUGAGAGGAUGAUCAGUCACACUGGAACUGAGACACGGUCCAGACUCCUACGGGAGGCAGCAGAA
rnacentral:rRNA from 1 species